AAAGGGUUCAAUAAACCCUAAAUCCAUAUACACAUCAACAUAGAAGGGAACAACUCGAAAAUAUUACCUGAAUAACGUUGCUCUGUGUCCCCAACCCUCAGAAUAUGGCUUCUCCUGUUGUUCCCUUAACCAAGCCUCCUCCUCCUUGCAAAAUAACACUUCCAAGAUCAAUAAUGGUCUUCUACCUUGCUCCAGAUGCUCACAAUCGAAUUAGGGUUUCACUCAAAGGACUAGGGUGAACAAUGACGGCCAUAAGGCCCCUUAUAUAUGUCCCAAACCUGGACGGUUAGGGUUUCGCUAAACAGCGCAGACUCGCCGAGUCCAUAUCCGGACUCGUCGAGUCCAGUCGCGAACCCGCGACCAGAUCCGCGAUCCUACUCGGCGAGUCUGAGCUCCAACUCGCCGAGUCCCCUCUUAAAACACCCAAAAUCAUAAAUAUAACAAUACCUGGAAUUCCGGGCUGUUACAACUCUCCCCCACUAGGACUAGACUUCGCCCUCGAAGUCUCACUCUGAAAAUAGCUCCGGAUGCUGCUCCCACAUCUCACGCUCCGGCUCCCUAGUCAUUUCCGAUCCCUUCUGGUGCUGCCACUGAACUAACACCAGAGGUAUCUCCUUAUCCCUCAUAACCUUGAUCUCCCGAUCUCUGAUGGCCACUGGUCUCUCGGCAUAAUUCAGACUCGCAUCCCCCUAAAUGUCCUCUAAUGGAACCACUGUCGACUCAUCGGCUAUACACCUUCUCAAUUGCGACACAUGAAAAGUGUCGUGGAUCUGUCUCAAUUCCGUUGGCAACUCCAAACGGUAGGCCACCCGGCCUACCCUCGCAAUCACACGAAAAGGCCCAAUAUACCGGGGCCCCAACUUGCCCCUCUUCCUGAAUCGAAUCACUCCUUUCCAAGGAGAGACCUUCAGGAGUAUGAAGUCGCCGACCAGAAACUCAAGCUCGGACCGGCGUCUGUCUGCAUAACUUUUCUGUCGGCUCUGGGCGAUCAAUAACCUCUGUCUAACCUGCUGAAUCUGCUCCGUCGACUGAAACACGAUCUCUGUACUGCCCAUCACUCUCUGUAACCGAGAAUUACCCAAGAUGCAACUCUGCUCUAAAUCUCAACGAUCACUCAACCCAUAAAGGUUAGGAAACCAUGAACCACCGGAUCCCCGAUCCAAAGCCCACUUUGCCCAUUCCGGACCGACUGAGAGAUCCGUUCUCCCUCUCAGAUCAACUCUCACAAGUUCCCUCUUGCCAUCACAUACACAUACUGAACUAGUCCCAACACCCGCAGGUUGGAAGACCCGAUACACUGAUGAUAUCCUCGAACAUCUCCCAAGAUGAACCACUACAUCCACCCUACACUCUGAUCAGAUUCACACUGAGAAUUUAAAAUUUUCUCUCUCCAUGCAUCCCUUCUGAGCCUCAACAGACAUCCCAACCGGAUGGGUUCCUACUCCACUGCCGCGAACACGAUGCUCAAAACCAUACUCGAAAUACUCUAACCAUAACUCUACUCUGUAGCUUUCACUUUCGUGAACUUGCACUUCCCUUCGGAGUUACACACCUUUCUCUUUUCCUUUUCCAAGGAACCCUCUUGGCCAUAAUGCCACUCCAACCGGUGCCACGGUGCUCGCCCCAAGCGACACCACCCUUUUUGCGUAACCGCUAUUCACAUACUCUGGCUCUCAUUGCAGGGGCUCUCAAGCCCAUGCACUCUCUCCACUCCACAAAAUCACUACCUCAACUAAACAAAAUCACUAACCCGGGGCCAGACCUUCCAAUGUAAUCACACUGCAACAUACACAAUCCGAAAUCUCAAACUGAUCCAACAAUACCAUCAGAGUCCCCAGCAUGACUGGACCGACUCUCAUAACACACACUAGCCACUCGAGGCUAUAUCUCUGUGGGUCCGUACACCCAAACUCUGUGAACCCUCAGGUUCUAACUCUGGGAACCUUCCGGUUCCAACUCUAAGAACAUGCACAACAUAAAUCCCGUGGGAUUAAUGCAGUACAACCCAUCACGUACAUCAAGCAUACAAAUACACUGAUCACAUAACCCUGGUUACUUACUCAAACUUGAUCCCGGUCUGCUCCCAGGCCUCCACAAUCAAAUGCCCUAUGUCUGUAUCCCGCCCCGCAUACUCGACACUCGCUCUCGUCAGCCUAUUCUCUGAGCUGACAGAACACUGUUGAAUCCCAACAACUAAGCACCCUCACAUACUCUUCGAUCUCCCGGAGAAUUCUCCAAUUCUCCCCCAUUUAAAGUACUGACUAACAACCACCAAACUAUAACCAUACCAACCUUCAGGGAACCACGGAUACCAAAACGAAAACCCGAAACACCAAUCCAUAACCAUGCCAAACCCGCGAAACAACAAAUACCGCAUUGAAAUCCACACCAGAUACCAGCACAAACAGUACGCCACAAUAAACGCAAGAUGACAAGACAUCAAGAAAGCAACAUACCCGCAGCUGCCACCGGCACUGCUCCGACUCCCUCUGCCGCAAGCUGAUACGCACGACCCUGAGCCCUUGGGCUCCGCUCCAUCCUGUCCUCCUCCUGAACUCCUCAAGGUGGCCGGUGCUAGAGCCUGCACCGGUCCUGCAGAAAGCUGUGGAUAGUUGACCCUCAAAUGUCCAACCUGCCGAGAAUGAUAACAAAUCCUCAAAUGCCGAAUCGGCACUGACUUCCGACAAUCCCGCGCAUAGUGCUCCUCCUUUCCGCACUUGCGGCAUGCACCACCGGACCAACAAACUCCGGUGUGACCCCUCCCACACUUCCCACAAGUGUGGCCGCUCCGAUCCCCCACUCUAACAUCAACGGUCCUGGACCGUUUCGGCGCCGGUUGCGACUGCAUCGGCGCCUGCCUCAGCUCACGCGACUGCAAUUUAACCUCUAACUCACGCCGCAUGGCGGCCUCCUGCAACUCCAACAAGGUCUCGCACCUCCGCGCAGACACGAACUGUCUGAUAUCCCCCUUGAGCAUACUCAGAUAUCAGGACAUCUUAGCCUGCUCCGAAGCGAACUCUAGGCAAAACAUCGCCCUCUCAAUAAACAUCCUGGUGAUCUCAGUCACCGACUCUGAAUCCUGCUUCAGCUCAAGGAACUCCUGAGCCAAUCUCUCCCUCUCAUCCCGCGGAACAUAGCGAGUACUGAACAUCUCUCUGAACUGAUCCCAUGAAACCGCAGCCCUCUGCGCAUCGGAAUAUGACCCCGUGGUCAAUCUCCACCAAUCCUCCGCCCCGAGCCUCAAUAGGUUCAGAGCACACCUCACCCUCUGCGAGAUGAGCAUAUCGCUCAUCAAAAUACUCAAUCAUGGCGGUCUUGAUCGACCCAAACAGUUCCGGCAACUCAGCCCGGAACAAUGCAGCAACUUCAUCAUGCAGGAUCUUGCGAAUCCUCGCAUUCAACUCGCUCGUGCUCGUCUGAUCGAUAACCUCAGAUGGCACCGAUCCACCCGGAACUCGCUCUCCAGCUCCCGAUCCUGAUCCGGAUCCACUAUCAUCAUGCCUCGAAAUCUCCAUACCGAAGACGCCAUACCAAUCUCAGACACUUUCCACAAUCCUGGGAUCCAACUCUCGCAACCCGACCCUAGAGAUUAUGGUUUCCCUGAUACACGUAUGGGUCCUGUGCUUUCAGUAGUACGGGCCCAUACUACCUUCCACACCUACCCAUAUUUGUAUGAAGUACUACCACAAUACCCUAGGGAACAUGCAUAACAACUAUCAACCCUCACCACUAGAGGAACACUGAGAAUCUCCCAUAAGGGACCCUAGGCUACAGGCAUCACAAAUCAGGCAACAUUAUCAUGAAUUCCUGAAGAUCCCUAGCCUAACUCUAGCAUGCUGUUCUAUCAAGCUCAAUAAAACAAAUAUCAUGUAUGGUAUCUUGGGGUUACUUACUGGCUCCGGCUGAUCAUACCUCUGCGUCCUCCCUUUACUUAAUUUGAAAACCAUUUUAAUUUCUCUUCCUAAAAUCCUCCUCGAUUUGAGACUGGAGUCACACGAAUGUUUCCCUAAUUCACUCAAACCAAGGCUCUGAUACCAACUUGUAACGACCAAAAUUUCAAAACAAUUAAAACUUUUCAAAAACCACUCAUUUUAUUAACGUUGUUACAAAAGGUUUUCAAUACAUUAUUUAACAGAGUAUUUUCCCAGGUUCAUAUCAUAAAACAUCAACGCGAGGAACGGUACGAUCACGCCUUUGCCUUGUCACAGACUCCUGAGAACCUGAAAACAUGAAACCACAACUGUAAGCCCGAAAGCUUAGUGAGAUACCCCCAAAAUACCAACCACAUAUACGCCUUUCCAGGCCACGACCUUCCGGUCCAAAACAUAUCGCCUUCCGGCCCAUAACGCAAUGCCUUCCGGCCCAUAACAUAUUGCCUUCCGGCCCAUAACAUAUUGCCUUCCGGCCCACAGCAUAAUAAGCAUACAUAUCAGCAUAAAAGCAUACAUAACAUAACAGGACAUAGAACGACCCUGCAUACCGGGUCACACCCCAGGUCUAGCAAUCAUACGCAUAACACAUAAUCAUAUAACAGUUCACAGUCAGCAAUCGAUCAACAGACCACAUAACAUAGCAUUACUCUAUUCAAGAUACCGGCCUAGCCGGUCACUAGCAUAACAUCACCCUACGAAUCAGUCAACAUACUAAAUGCACACAUACGCCUUUCCAGGCCAUGACCUUCCGGUCCACAUAGCAAUGCCUUCCGGCCCACAACAUGUAAUGCCUUCCGGCCUGCAACAUAUAACGCCUUCCGGCCCAUAUCAUAACAACUGACAACCACCCGGAUUUCCAUCCGAUAAAAGGUUGGCCUUGGUGCCAUAAACCCUAGCGAUAUAGUGAGGAUAACUCACCUCGAAACUGCCGACUGAACAGAUAGCUCAAGCUGCUCCGAUCACUGAUACGAUCUCCACCUCUGGACAGCCACCAAUGCACUGAACUCAAACAAUAAACAACAAUUACCAAAAUACCCCUGGAACCACUGGUCAACCCUUGGUCAAAGACAAGGUCAAAGUCAACCCCUGACUGACCCUACUCGCCGAGUCAACCCUAUGACUCGCCGAGUCCCCAUACUCAGAACUUCACUCAAUCCGCGAUCUAACUCGCCGAGUCACCCCGAGACUCGCCGAGUUCAACAACUCUGAGUCCACUCGCCCUCAACUCACCGAUUCUCUAAGAUUCCCUUUCUACACGUCGAGUAUCCCCCUUGACUCGACGAGUUCCUCCUGGAAGAAUCGCGGGGCCACCCCGACUCAACUCGCCGAGUCUGAAGAACAACUCGGCGAGUCCCAGUUAAUCUUCAAGCUACUCGCCGAGUCUGUUCAACGGACUCGGCGAGUCCAUGCCAUGAAACCGCUCAAACUGCUUUCUAAGGUCAGAUCUGCUCCGACAAUUCAUAAGUCUGGCCUUCCUAGACUGAUUCAUCACGUAAAGUCCUCAUUUUGGUGCUCAAUAUACACCCCAUGACUCGUAAUCUACAUUUUGACCUAAGGCAUAAGGAUUCCAAUCCAAAACCUCCAUUGAUUCCCGAAAUGCUCAGGCAUGGGACAUUCUGGACUUCCAAGGGUCCCAAUAUAGGGUUCCAAUCGCUUGGGGGACUAAGGAAACACUCAAUCUAGCCACAAAAGGGUUCAAUAAACCCUAAAUCCAUAUACACAUCAACAUAGAAGAAUGCAACUCGAAAAUAUUACCUGAAUAACGUUGCUCUGUGUCCCCAAUCCUCAGAAUGUGGCUUCUCCUGUUGUUCCCUUAACCAAGCCUCCUCCUCCUUGCAAAAUAACACUUCCAAGAUCAAUAAUGGUCUUCUACCUUGCUCCAGAUGCUCACAAUCGAAUUAGGGUUUCACUCACAGGACUAGGGUGAACAAUGAAGGC
rnacentral:lncRNA from 1 species